AGGCGAGAGGCUCCUGGACGACGUCGAUGUUCACAUGCCCAAGGUUGCCGUACUUGGAGAGCUGAGUGGGAGGGAUGCCUGAGCCAAAAGGUCUGUGCUAUCUGAGCUGGUGGAAAAAGGACUUGGAGACAGCGAUUUAAAUAUGGAACAAGGUCUUCCACGAACACGGUGCAGAACUGGACGAAGAGCUCUUGCUCCCCACUGCUGAAAGCAGCCUCUUCUGCACGAUGGAAGGCCAGGAUUAUAUUAGUUACCUAGGGGACAAGGCAUAAAGAAAGUCUUUCCAAACAGUACAUUACUGUCUUGUUUAAAUUCAGAAUUGUGGUCACUCUCCACAAUUCUGUCACUUCGUUGAUAUAUUUCUGACUCAACAUGUUUCAUUACUGGCACAGGUUCCAGUUCCAGUGGAAGAGCAUCAAGAGGUUCUUGACUCCUUCAGGAGAUGGACCAGAACUAUAUCGGAUUCAGAAAAAUGAAGCAAAACUAUAAAAGGUUUUUACUGAGUAAGACCUUUGAGGUUCCAGGAAGCUAGACCACUAGAAAAUUGGAAAGGAAGACAGACUUGGAAAAGAAGUUCCACACACAAAUAACAGAGCUACACUUUCUUGUUCAAGUCCUAGCUGUGCCGCUUGCUGGUUUUGUGGCUUCCAAGUGAUUAAACACUUCAUGCCCUCUGCUCCUCA